rnacentral:lncRNA from 1 species
UUAAAUUAAGUGAAAAGAUAUGAAAGCAUGAAAUAUGCAUCUCAUGAUCAAUUAAUCAAAGACCAUUUUGAUGGCAUUUUAUACUACUUUUUUCAUCAAUAGGAACAAUAUAGAUGAGAAUAUUAGCUCUUUCUACUGUUAUUAAAAUGACUUGGUUUUCAGUUUCCUAAUUCUCAACAAGUUUGCAUUUCCAAAAUAAAAAAGACUAACAAAUCCUUCUACUAAGAGUGCUGAUAAGGGCAACAGUGAUAGAACAUCGAUAUCACAGAAGAAAAAAAAGAGAACUUCAGAUAGCUCCAACAAAACCAUUCCAUGAUUACAAAUGUCAAUCUUUACAUCAACCUUAAAUGAGUAUCUUCGUUCUGCCAAAUAGCAAAGCAUCGAAAUUGUUAGAAAUCAAAAUAUUGUGAACAUAGAGGAAAAAACAUCUCUUCACAAAUAUCACUACAGGCAGUUUCUAUCUUCGUUCCUGAUCUUCUAGAUCAUUAGCCAAAUAUCAAUGUAUCUCCAUUCUCAGAAAGGUGCAUUGAGCCAUUGACAACCAUUGAGUCAAAGAUAAUCUCAACUCUUGAUUCCGUCAUCUGCCACAUGACAAAAUUGGUUGUCAUCAAAUAAUGAGAAAAA